AUUUGACAGCAAAGUACUGUAGGUCAAAUGGGGCCAGAAGUGGUAUUCAAAUUCAAUAGCACAGGGAAUAUGUCCAACCAAAACUGGAAACCCUACUCCCCACCCAGUCUGCAGCUCUGAGUCUCCAGCAAGUAACCUCCUAGAAUGUUCUGGAUCUUUGUGGAAUGUGGUGGAACCUUCCAGACUUUCUGAGAAUUAUAUUUUCCUUGAACCUCGUAGAAUGUUGUCAGCCAUGCCCUCACAGGUAUAUAAGGGGUGGGGGAUCACGAAUGAGUGAGAUAUAAGAAUGAAGCUAUGAUAUUGUGAACCUCAUUUUAUUGUGUAAUUGUGAAAGUGUAUUUGUGUUUCAAGACUUGAAGAGUUAAAACAGUGACUAAUGACACACUAGAGAUAUAUAUCAAACCCCUAUCUAUGCAACAAUAUAAAAGAAAUACUGUUACUACUUUUACCAAGCUUCACACAUAAUGUUUGAUGACUUAAUAUUAGUACAUUUCAGUUAGUCUUAAAAUUAAAAAGUUUCUAUAAGGUUAGAGGAAAUGAAUUUUUGUAUUUGCUUAUAUAUGGCAUGGAUAAACACAGAUUUACAGAUCCUAGUAUGCAAAUGUAUCAUCUUAUAUGACAGGGAUAAGUCAUGCAUGCAAAUCGUGCAUCAAAGUCAUGAAAUGGCUACAAAUGCAAUAAACGUAAGGUAUUCAAAAAUUUAACAAAUGGAGGGGGAGGGUGCUGAAGAUGCUCCUUGCCUGGGGAGCCAUUUGGCCUAGGGAUUAUCUAAAUAUUUGAAGUGUGAUUUGAGUACAGUGCAGAAGUACCUUCACAGGGAGAAAAUGCUGCAUAGUAAUGGAUCUUUAAUCAAGCAAAGUAAUGCAUAACAAAAAACAGUAGCUGGAAGCUGAAGCCAGACAAAUUACACUUGGAAAGAAGGCACAGAUUCUUAGCAGUGUGUCUGAUUAACCAUUGGAACAAAUUACCAAGCAAAGUAGAGAUUUUACAUCUCCUGUUGCCUGCAAAUCAAGGCUGCAUGUGUUUCUGGAAGAGCUGCUUUAGCCAGACACAAGUUAUUGGGUUCAAUACAGCAGUAACUAGGUGAAAAGUAAUUGCCUGUGAGAUACAGGAGGUAAAACUAGAUGGUCAUUUCUGGGCUUAAACUCUAUGAAUCAAUUACUAUGAAUCCAUAUUAAACCAGACCCUCGCUAGAAUGCGCAUCUAUAUAGUACGAAUUCGCAUAUAAUGCAGUCGCAGCCAUGGAUCCCAAAUUUAAUUGCAAUUAAUUUAAUUAAUUGCAAUUCAUUUUAAUGCAGUUCCCGCUAUAACGCGGUCCCCAUGUUAACGCGGUACUGUGCAUGGAUCCCAAAUCUCAUGUUCUAGCGAAAGUCCGGUAUAUUUCAGUAUUUUUAGUAUGUUCUCACUUCGACUGCACAUUGAGAAUGUUAAUAGCCUGUGCUAUGCUGUGUCUUGGUCAGCUCUGGUUGUAUGUUCCUUGUGUGACCAUGUGAAUUAUUUUAUUUUUUCCAUUCCUCACUACUUGUGCCUGGUGCAAUUAUCCCAGGGAACAAUAUUUUAAAUAAAGCCUAGGGAUAUUACAGGAUCUAUUAUCAUCUUCUUAAGUAGAGAGAGAACUUGUAUGUUUACAUGAGUGCUGCACGCACAUGUAGAAACUCUCCUUCAACCCUACAAUGAUCCAUUACAGUGGGAAUGCUUCCAACGCUAUUUCUGUGCUAUCAGGCACCUACCAGAAAAAACACAGUAUUUAAAAUAGGGUUGACCAGCAUUUCUUUAAGAAAUAUUUCCACAAAUUUCUUAGUGUAUGGAACUGGUACCUCUUAUCAGUAUCUGUGCAGAAUGAUUAUUUAUAAAAGCUCCAGUUUAGAGAAGAAGAUGAUAUAAAGGUAUUAAAAAAUGAAAUGGUUAUGUCCACCCACCUGAACUCAAGUAGAUGUCACAUGGGAAGAAAAAGGCAGCCCAACUUUGAUAAACACAAUGUACAGAGCUGGAUUGGGAUUUGAGUGAAGAAUGUGGAUAACCUGGCACUUUCUAAAAUAGACUAAAGUUACAUUACGCAAACAUUGAAGUCCUUGAAGGCAAGAAGUUUGGGAUCUGAAAACUUGUGAUCUUGAUCUUAAAAUAUAUAUUUGUAGUUCUACUACAGAACUACAUUCACCUCAGGGAUGGCUCUGGGACAGAAGUGUUGGAACCAUUUACCCAGCUUCAUACCACCUUCUGUGACUGGUUACUUAGGAUUCAGGACUACUGUACUUUGUGAUAGAGGUGAGGUACAAAGUAGCUGACAUGCCAGGGGGAAUCUGAGCCUUCUUUGUAAAAUGCUUUCCAAGUGUUCCAGUAUGGGGUUAGUAUCUCAAAUGACAUGACAAUAUCACCACAAAUAUUGGAGAACCAUAAAGCCAACAUUGUUCCACAAAUGAUAGUUUCCCCCUAAAGCCCUCAAGGAAAUGAGGACUGUUAAUGUGACCAGACAGGAGAGAUCUUUUGUACUGCUUUAAAAUGCUUAAGGAGGAUAUCAUCUUGGUCCCACCGAAGUCAGUGGGUGUUUUGCCAUUGUCUUCCAAGGGGCCUGUGUUUUCAUUCUCUGUGAUGUAUCAUAAAUGCUGAGUGGAUGCUUUAAUUUCUAUGAGCUCAUUUCUGCUCCGCGUUGAGAGUGCUCUGAGAUUAAUAUAAUGGCAGCACAUCUUGUGCAAAAGUAAAAUAAAGGGACUUUCUAUCUCCUAUCUGAAUAACCAAAAAAGUAUCAAUCCAGCCCAAUAGUGAUAUCUCAAGGAUUGUACUGUUGCUAAUACUUCUCUGCCUUGUUAAAUUGUAGUAUGCUUGAUAUUGAAAUUGUUUUGGAUGUAUGGUUGAUUAGAAAUAAGAUAAAUUAUUAUCCUGUUUAAAAUUGGAAAUAUUACUGCAUAUAAGUGGGCGAACUCUGAAGAAUUUAUUGACAAUAAAACACGGUGAACUUAGGGUCAAUUAGAAGUAAUUUCUAACAACUCAAUUUUUAUAACACAAAGCAAGAAUGCACAGUAGACAUAAUUAAUAUUCACUUGGAUUGGGGCAUGUAUGUGUGUGCAGUGCUUAGAUAUAUGUCCUGCAAAAGCAAUCUGCCCGGGGAAGUGUCAGCAUCCAACACAAACAUCAUCCUCCAUGUGAUUGGACAGGGAGUCUUAAAAGAGCUAUUACUUUUUUGCAUUAAUUUGAUCUCUCAUGUCUGUGGAGCAAGUAAGUCCAGAUCCUCAGCUGUGAACACUAGAAAAAAAACAUAAUUGACAUUUUACCUCCAAAACUUGUCACUCCUGGCACUGAAGGUUUAAACACUGUGGGCCAGAUCCUUAUCUGGUAUAAAUCUGUGUAACUCCAUUGAACUUAGUAGACUGAUGCAGAUUCAUACCAGUUGAGGAUCUGGCACAUAGUUAAGUGAGGCAGGGUGGGAAAGUGGAUAGAGUACUGUGAUUUAAGAUAGAUGUUCUAGACCUAUCUUGGCCAUUGCGUUGCUGGGUGAGCUUGGGCAAAUGACUUUGCUUCUCUGUGCCUCAGUGUCCCAAUGUGUAUAAUGAUGCUUACUUGCUUUUGUCAAACACUUUGAAAUCUACGGAUGAAAAGCAUUAUAGCAGAGUGUUGUUAUAUAGUGUCGCUAUUUUAUACUCACCGCAAGCUAGAUUUUUGCUAAUUAUAAAAAUACUGAGUCAAAUUUUUCCCAAACAAUUGUUGCUUUUCUUUGUAUUUGUUCUUCAGAUGUUGAGCUCAAGCCCAGCAGUAGUUAGAAGGGGAAAAAAGUGUGUUCCCUUCUCUUGCUGUAAACAGGACCUCAGUCCAAACUGAAGUAUUUGCCAUUUUUCUUCUAUCCUGUAAAUGGCAUAGCUUAACCUGGAACUGGUCUCUUAUUACAAAAUAGGCAUUUAGUAUGGGGGGAGGCACAGAAAAUGAACAUGGAUCUACUGAACAGAUUUAGAAAAGAUUUUAUAUUCUAGAGUACCAUCAUGCCACUGUCUCACUCCCUCAGUCUUGCCCUUGGUAUCAAUGAUAAACUUGUAAAAACCCUUCUUUAUUUGACAUUAUGGUCCGUAUCCUCAGCUGCCAUAAAUCAAUGGAGCUCUGACAAUUUUAAUGGUGCUCUGUUGAUUUACACCAGUGAGGAUCUAAUCUUAUAAUUUCCACCCCCCUCCUAAUCACUUAGGGUGACACUAAAGAUGUGGUUGAUCCCAGUGCAAUGGGCCUUUAAGGAUUGUGGCAAGUGGUGCAUAGGGCCUUAUAUGGGCCCAAAGCACCUAGGUAAAUUUCACCUUCCAAUACAUAUUUAGUGACAUCUUCUUAUGCCCACUCUUUCCAAUAUUUUAAGUGUCUGUGUCUAGCAUAUCCAAUAAAAUGAAUACAUAAAUGUGUCAUUUCGAUGCCAUUAUGGAACAGCUUUAAAUUAAUCCAUGUCAAAGGAAUAUAUUCUCUAUGGGUAGAGAUUUUUUUUUAUACGACCUUUUCCCCUACAAACCAGUGUAUUUUCCUCCAGACACAGGUAGCAUAGCUUUUAAGUAUUAAUUAAACUCUCUCAAACAAAGCAGGUUAAAGUGAUAUCCUGCAGCUCUGUGUUGUUUCCGUGUAUUAGCACAGGGAAAUACUAUUUUCACUUUGAUAAAUAAAGCGCUCCUUGUCUCUUGUGCCUUUUGUCUGUAGGCUAUUGUGUAUGUGACUAAAGCCAUGCAUGACUUGAGCAAAUGUUUAAAUAGGUUCUUGUGCAAUAGAGCUGAGUAAACAGUUAGCCAUACCCCUUUAGCUUUCUGAUGAAAGCAUUGAUGCAAAUGUGCUGGCACAAAACAAAGUAAAACUGUUUUUGUGAGAGCAGCAUCAAUUGCUGGAUAAUCUUGUUUCUGCUCUUGAUUUUUUGAAUUGAUGUGUUUAUUUGCUACUCUUAGAUAUCUGUCUAUUUUAAUAUGCAAGUAUGAGAAAUUAGGUGUGAGCGUUAGAUUAGGAGGUAAAAAACAAGGUGUACAAUAUAAUCUGUCCUCCAUUCUUAAGUAUGAAAUCCCUACGAUGGAGGCAUUAUUGUGAUUGGAACUCUGUCAUACUGUCAUUUGCACAUCAGGCUAUUAAUUAGUUCCUUAAAAACAGUAGCUAGUGUUUUUUUCUCUCUAUGCAUAUGAAUCUUUCAAGACUGAACUAUUUUUUUCUCUUCUCUGUAUAUACAACAUGAAUAUUGUGAUGGGGAUUUGGAAUGUGCCACACUGCUGUCUGCGAAGCUGUUUCCUUAACGGUCCACCUUAUUUACUGCCAAAUCAAUGCACUGUCAGCUGUAGUUAUGUGGCAUAGCAAUCACAUGAGGUCAAUCAAUUGAAUCCUAGUGACCUGGUUUGGUAUUUUAAAAUGUCUUAAAUUAAAAUCCCACAAAUUAAAAGAAAUAGACAUCUGAUGCUACUGCAGGGCCAAGCUACUACAGUAGUCUGACUGUUGUGAACAAGCUGGCAAUGAGAAGUAUCCCUAAAACAGCCACUCGGGGCAGAGGAGAUCCUACUCCCCAGUGCAGGUGCAGUCAGGGAGAUUAACUGUCCAUAUCAACUCCAUCCAAAAUAAUAAUAACAAAAAGGCCAAGAAGUUGUGAUCUCUGCAGAACAAGCUCUGUUGCCAAGACUUUUUUUUUAUCAUUUUGCGUCAAGGACUGUAAGCGGAUUGCUUAACAUAUGAGCGACACCUCCCCAGCUGAAUUUAAUUAUUUUUCAUAUUUAUUUAUGGAUUGAUUGUGUAUUUAGAAAAAAAUUGAUGUCUGCAAAGUCUAUGGUCUGAUUCAGUCACACUUUGUGCCAUUUUACUACUCUGUAUUAUAUAAUUUUGCUAUUAAGGAGCUAUAUAUAUAAUAUAAUUGCCCUGAUGGAAAAUGUAUUUAUAUUUUUAUAGCCUUUAGGCUACAUUCUUGGUUGUGGGGGAAUUAUGGUCUGUGGAGGAUGAAUACACUUUUCUCACCAGAACAGCUGGUAAUUCUCUAGUGACUGGUGUUUGUUUUAAAGUCAUGUGGUUGUGCGGGGGAGGGGGGUUCAGCCUCUAAAAGUAAAUUUACUGUUUAAUUCUACAAGAGCUCAGCUACAGCACAUGUUCACACAAGAAGUCUAUUCUUCCUCCAGGUUAUACUGCGAGAAAAGGGGAAGUCUCUACUCAUACUGAAAAUCUCUGUCUAAACAGAGAAUGAAUGCUUGGUGCUACCACUGGUAUUUCUCUCUUUCUAGAGCAACUGUUUAGAUAAGUGCCAAGGAGAUGUGAUCACUUUUAGGACAUGUCAAACACAACUAGUACUGCACUUAGGGGCAUAUCUUGGAAAUCAGGGAGUCACUGUCGAAACUCCCCUGGGAAUAGGAUUUGUCCAUUAAUCGUGGCCAGUCAGUGGAAAGGUUUAGUGUUAAUCAAAAGGAGACAUGUUGGGCCAUGUUCCAUAAAAACUGUUGCUGACCCAGUUUUUAAAAUGGUUGCGCUUUACCAAAAAGAAAGGCUUUUUCCUUUUAAGAGACACAGAAGUGGACCACAUGGCUAAUAGGUUUACCUACAGAGGAAUGUCCCAGAAUACUUUUAGAAUUUUGCCCAGGCCUCCCCAAACUUUCUACUCUGAAAAUAUGUUAAAAAAGUAAUAGAAAGCCUUGAACUAAUCUAAUAUCCAUUCUAUUAUUUUAAUACUUGCCUUUCUUCCAGUGUUUAGUCUGAUUGCUUCACGGUUUACAUAUUAUUCGCACAUACUAUCAUUAUUAUUAUUGUGAUUUUGCUGUUGUGUUUGGGUAAAGAGCACAACAGCAGUGUCAGUAUAUUGCUUGUAAAAUACAAAGCAGAGCAGUGUAACAUCCGUGUAUCCUCUGCAAUUAGUGUAAAGUAGUUGGAGAUGCUAUCCUAAAAAAGGUCAGAUUCUGUAUGUUUUGGUGGGUUUUAAAAUACAGAUUACAUUUAAGAUUUUUGUGUUUUUCCCAACUAUUUCUUUGAAAUCUGCUCAGCUUUUCAGACUUGUAAACCUUUAUUCCAGUCAAAGAUAACACCAAGCACAGAAGAGACAAAGAGAAUUGUUCAUCUAAGUCAAGGAUAGACAAGAAGCAUAAUUUUUCCUGGCUCAUAUCGCUACAAUCUCUCCACACCUCCCUCCUGACCGCCCCCCUCCAGAACCAAAUGACAGCACCAGUGAAGCAUUUGGCCAGCUCAUUGAGAAGGGACUCUUCAGAUUAAGUGCCCUAUCAAGAAACUGACAAUGGACCUUGGGAGACUCUAAUCCACAUGAGGAGUCUUCCUGGGAAUGUUCCAGUAAGAACAAAGGAGUGUCCUUCCACAUGGCAAAGGAUGUAAAAGGCCCUGAAAACUCUUCCAUUUUGUCUUCAAUCCUGCUUCUUACCUCUGGAGGAACUUUGCUACAAACUGAACCUCUGAACAAAGGACUGCAUGACCCAUCCAAGCUCUGG